AUUUGAAGAAAUUUCCCUUUGCUGUAGCUAAGUAGUGAAGUUUGUGUAAUCUGACACGUGACCUACUUCUGAUUUGGGGUUGGAAGCAGCAGGGCCUCAGUAACUGCAGGAAGAGCAAAGGCAGUUUCAUGCAAAAUUUUCAUGCACUGUGGGGCCGCUGCUUGAGUGAGUGGUCAGAAAAUGAAGCGACCUGAUUUACAGGCUUUGCAGCGGAUAUUUAGCUGGUGGAAUUUCGCUGUUUCAGCAGAUGCUCCUUACUACUGGAUGCCAGUACAAAACCCAAGCCCAGAGCACAGUGCUGUCUAAAAAAUGAAAGAGAAGACCAUGUGAUCUCAUGAAGGAAAAGGAGAAAAGUGAAAAAGUGCUUGGCAGCCCCAACACCUCUCUCCGUUGUGGCUCUGGCAGAACAGCCUCUGGACAGGAGAAAGCACAUUUCUGCUGCAGUGCCCGGGGACGCGAAGGGUCCUCCACAGCCAUCAGGACACCCUGGGGACAUAUGUUGCAUGGAAAGGAUGAAGCUCAGUGCUGAGUGUAAACCACGCAGCCUAUGCCUUGUAGGAAGCGGUCGUGUAGGGAAAAUUGCAUCAUCAAACAAUUAGAGACUGUAUCUCAAGCCAUGUGCAGAGGGGGUCAGACUGAGGUUGCCGAGUGAUCUGAAUUUGGUGAUUUUCCGCACUGGUCUAAAGCCCCCUCUCCAGCAGAAAUCAGCCAUGUCACGGGGCUGCGAGAAGGGCGACUGAUAAGAGCGAUCUCUCUCAUCCCUCACACGAGCACGAAGCCCCCACCGGGUGCAGAGCGCUCCCCUGGGCCGCCCGGGCCCCACCGCUGCUCCCGCGAAGCCACCUCCGAGGGCACCCGCCUCGCUGCCCGCGCGAACCCGGUGUGGGCCGGGGCAGGUGACCCGUGGAGAGCGGCGGCGCCCGGCGGUGCCCGCAGGGGUCG
ensembl:lncRNA